GAGGAAUACAUCGGAAUCUACUCUGUCGGGGGGGAUAACGUCUGGAAACUUAGGCUAAUACCGCAUACGCCCUACGGGUGAAAGGGGGGGAUCUUCGGACCUUGCGCGAUUGAAUGAGCCGAUGUCCGAUUAGCUAGUUGGCGGGGUUAAGGCCCACCAAGGCGACGAUCCGUAGCUGGUCUGAAAGGAUGAUCAGCCACACUGGAACUGAGACACGGUCCAGACUCCUACGGGAGGCAGCAGUGGGGAAUAUUGGACAAUGGGCGCAAGCCUGAUCCAGCCAUACCGCGUGGGUGAAAAAGGCCUUCGGGUUGUAAAGCCCUUUUGUUGGGAAAGAAAUCCAUCCGGCUAAUACCUGGUUGGGAUGACGGUUCCCAAAGAAUAAGCACCGGCUAACUUCGUGCCAGCAGCCGCGGUAAUACGAAGGGUGCAAGCGUUACUCGGAAUUACUGGGCGUAAAGCGUGCGUAGGUGGUCGUCUAAGUCCGAUGUGAAAGCCCUGGGCUCAACCUGGGAACUGCAUUGUAUACUGCGCGACUAGAGUUGUGGCUAGAGGGGUAGCGGAAAUUCAUGUUGUACCAGU
rnacentral:rRNA from 1 species